GCGCCAGGCGGGACUCGCUGCCCGGAAAGCAGAAGAUGCGGGUUCGAGUCCCGCCUGGCGCA
rnacentral:tRNA from 1 species